rnacentral:rRNA from 1 species
UUGAACGCUGGCGGCAUGCUUUACACAUGCAAGUCGAACGGUAACAGCACUUCGGUGGCUGACGAGUGGCGACCGGGUGAGUAAUACAUCGGAACGUGCCUAGUAGUGGGGGAUAACUACUCGAAAGAGUAGCUAAUACCGCAUGAGAUCUAAGGAUGAAAGCAGGGGACCUUCGGGCCUUGCGCUACUAGAGCGGCUGAUGGCAGAUUAGGUAGUUGGUGGGAUAAAAGCUUACCAAGCCGACGAUCUAUAGCUGGUCUGAGAGGACGACCAGCCACACUGGGACUGAGACACGGCCCAGACUCCUACGGGAGGCAGCAGUGGGGAAUUUUGGACAAUGGGCGCAAGCCUGAUCCAGCAAUGCCGCGUGCAGGAUGAAGGCCUUCGGGUUGUAAACUGCUUUUGUACGGAACGAAAAGCCCUCUUCUAAUACAGGAGGGUCAUGACGGUACCGGAAGAAUAAGCACCGGCUAACUACGUG